GAAAUGCGAUAAGUAAUGUGAAUUGCAGAAUUCCGUGAAUCAUCGAAUCUUUGAACGCACAUUGCGCUCCCUGGUAUUCCGGGGAGCAUGCCUGUCCGAGCGUCAUUGCAACCCCUUCAAGCUCAGCUUGUGUGUUGGGCGUCGUCCCCGCUGGACGCGCCCGAAAAGCAGUGGCGGCUCCGUGCCUUGGUGCCCGAGCGUAUGGGCUUUGUUACCCGCUCUAGUGGCCCGGCCGGCGCUGGCCCCCUAAGUCUUAACUGGACUCCAGUUAAGGUCUUAACUAAAACUUCGUGGUUGACCUCGGAUCAGGUAGGGAUACCCGCUGAACUUAA
rnacentral:misc_RNA from 1 species